UUAAAGGAUAACAGCUCAUCCAUUGGUCUUAGGAACCAAAAACUCUUGGUGCAAAUCCAAGUAAAAGC
rnacentral:tRNA from 1 species